rnacentral:rRNA from 1 species
AUUGAACGCUGGCGGCAUGCCUUACACAUGCAAGUCGAACGGCAGCACGGGUGCUUGCACCUGGUGGCGAGUGGCGAACGGGUGAGUAAUACAUCGGAACAUGUCCUGUAGUGGGGGAUAGCCCGGCGAAAGCCGGAUUAAUACCGCAUACGAUCUACGGCUGAAAGCGGGGGACCUUCGGGCCUCGCGCUUUAGGGUUGGCCGAUGGCUGAUUAGUUAGUUGGUGGGGUAAAGGCCUACCAAGGCGACGAUCAGUAGCUGGUCUGAGAGGACGACCAGCAACACUGGGACUGAGACACGGCCCAGACUCCUACGGGAGGCAGAAGUGGGGAAUUUUGGAAAAUGGGCGAAAGACUGAUCAAGAAAGGCCGCGUGUGUGAAGAAGGCCUUCGGGUUGUAAAGCACUGUUGUCCGGAAAGAAAUCCUUGGCCCUAAUACGGUCGGGGGAUGACGGUACCGGAAGAAUAAGCACCGGCUAACUACGUG